GAAGCAGAGGAGAAUUUGGAGAAGUGCUGCAGUGGGCUAAGAAGACCAAGACCCUAGUAUAUAUCAAAUUCAGUCUCAUCUCCUGAGCCUGCUACCACAGUCUUUAGAACAAAGCUUCUUUUCAACCAUAAGUAGAUAUCAAGAGAUGUGGACUCAUGGGAGUGAUAUCUGCAAUGUUAAAGCAGCAGCCAGAAAGAGGUCUCCUCUGAUACCCAGGUGUAGAAAGACACACACACACACGGGCAACGUGGAGAAGCAUAGCUAACUAAAGAUCUGCUCAUUCAAGCAAUCAUUGCCCAGCAAGUUCAUAAAUCAAAGUUAAUUAAGCUGAAGCAUCAUUUUUGAUGGGACUGAAAUUUGCACAUAUAUAGUUAAUAAUGAAUAAUUAUAGGUCAUUGCUUUAUCAGAAAAGACAUGUACCAUUCUUUUAAUUAAUUCUAUUAACCUUUUUGGCAAAUACUAAACUAAGGUUAUACGUGCCAAUUAAAAUUAAUUUUAUAUGGAAGAUUUUAAACUGCAAUAACUGUAUCCUUUUAAAAGGUAACAGUAAUCAAAGCUUUUAUGUUUUUGAUCAAAUGCACACUGCAUGGUGUUGUGUUCUGCCUUGGAUAAAAUGCUGUUUGGA